rnacentral:rRNA from 1 species
AUUGAACGCUGGCGGCAGGCCUAACACAUGCAAGUCGAACGAGUGGCGGACGGGUGAGUAAUGUCUGGGAAACUGCCUGAUGGAGGGGGCUAACUACUGGAAACGGUAGCUAAUACCGCAUACCAUUAUAUGUGCCCAGAUGGGUUUAGCUAGUUUGGGGGGUAACGGCUCACCAAGGCAACGAUCCCUAGCUGGUCUGAGAGGAGGACCAGCCACACUGGAACUGAGAACCGGUCCAGACUCCUACGGGAGGCAGCAGUGGGGAAUAUGGCACAAUGGGCGCAAGCCGGAUGCAGCCAUGCCGCGUGUAUGAAGAAGGCCUUCGGGUUGUAAAGUACUUUCAGCGGGGAGGCGUUACCCGCAGAAGAAGCACCGGCUAACGCCGUGCCAGCAGCCGCGGUAAUUC